rnacentral:rRNA from 1 species
UGGGGAAUCUUAGACAAUGGGGGAAACCCUGAUCUAGCCAUGCCGCGUGAGUGAUGAAGGCCCUAGGGUCGUAAAGCUCUUUCGCCAGGGAUGAUAAUGACAGUACCUGGUAAAGAAACCCCGGCUAACUCCGUGCCAGCAGCCGCGGUAAUACGGAGGGGGUUAGCGUUGUUCGGAAUUACUGGGCGUAAAGCGCGCGUAGGCGGAUCAGAAAGUUGGGGGUGAAAUCCCGGGGCUCAACCCCGGAACUGCCUUCAAAACUCCUGGUCUAGAGUUCGAGAGAGGUGAGUGGAAUUCCGAGUGUAGAGGUGAAAUUCGUAGAUAUUCGGAGGAACACCAGUGGCGAAGGCGGCUCACUGGCUCGAUACUGACGCUGAGGUGCGAAAGUGUGGGGAGCAAACAGGAUUAGAUACCCGUGUAGUCC